UACGUAGGGUGCAAGCGUUAAUCGGAAUUACUGGGCGUAAAGCGUGCGCAGGCGGUUUCGUAAGUCUGUCGUGAAAUCCCCGGGCUUAACCUGGGAAUGGCGAUGGAGACUGCGAGGCUAGAGUUUGGCAGAGGGGGGUAGAAUUCCACGUGUAGCAGUGAAAUGCGUAGAGAUGUGGAGGAACACCGAUGGCGAAGGCAGCCCCCUGGGUCAAAACUGACGCUCAUGCACGAAAGCGUGGGGAGCAAGCAGG
rnacentral:rRNA from 1 species